UGUAACAUCACCAAUUCCACCAAUCAGGGAUAAGAUAUGAGCCAUGUGACAGUUUCUGACUGCUCAGACUUCCUUAACGAUCACAUAUGGACAUUUUCAAGUUGUUAGUGCCAUUUAUCCCGGAGUAAGGAGAAAAAUUCAACAUCUGAGGUGCUGCUGAUUGUACCGAAGUACCCAUGUGCAGAGACAUGCCCCCUUAGAACAUGGCAGAACAUGUUGUUAACUAACAGCACAACAACAAACUGAUCCUUUGAGUCGUAAUGAAGUUCUCAUCUCUCCCCAAGACUGAUGAUUGCUGAUCUAAGAAUUUAGCACAAUCGGAUAUAAUGACUUUUUCCAGAUUCUACUGCUUCAGACAUCUGGAAGACAACACGACAGAGCACUGAGAGACUUCAAGUCACUUGGAACCUUAUUCUGAACUUUUUUUGCCCUGUUAGAAGACUUGUGUAGUAGGUUUUCCACUGCUACUCACCAGAUUCACAAGAUUUUUGCUGAUGGCGUUUUUCGCUUUUGGUCGAUUGAGGCCGAAGACUACAAUUCCUAAACGAGAAGCAUUAGUUACGAUUUGUCACUGUGCUAUAGAAAAUGAUUCUGAUGAAAUAUCAGCUUACAAUUAAGCAUUCAUAACAAGCAACUGUAUUAUGGAGAACCAUAAACUGCUUAGUAUUAUGUUACAUAACCAAGUGAGGGGGUGUUUUUCACAUUCAAAAUGCAGUCCUCUUAUGAUUAAAGUGUUAGAUUCUGCAGUAUGGAAAAUAUGAUUGUAAAACUGAAUAGAGCAUCUACAAACAGCAUGGAGGUUGCUCUCUAGUUUCAGGUGAUCACGUGUGUUGAAGGUUACUAAGCAACAGAUACUGCCGGGAGGAGCUUGCGAGUUAAGUUGUUUGUUAGAGCAAGAACUUGGCUGAUUUAAGGGGGACGGCAGUCUAUGUUUUGGUGAAUUUAUUAACAAAAU